AAGACUAUACUUUCAGGGAUCAUUUCUAUAGUUUGUUACUAGAGAAACUCCACUGAUUGUGUAGAGCACCGAGAACCACGAUGAAGAGAUAUAGUGUUCUCUCCUGAGCGUGAAGCUGGCACUUGGUGAUGCUUUUGGGCAUCUGCCUCUUGCCAUUGAUGAUCGUUCUUCCUUCGCUUUUGGCGCAGUGAGAGGGAGAGAACACAUUCGGAGUGGU